ACAAAUAGGCGAUUUGGGCGAUCUAGAGAGAGAAGCAGCCUGAUGGCUUCGCCGGCCGGCGGCCAGCCAUUAAUUCCGGCAGGUCAGCCCCUUAACACAUCUGUCCAACCUCCUACAACAACUACAAACAAUCCCCAACUCUCAAAUCCCACAAACGAAGCCAUGAAUUACGCAAAAGCUGUGAACCCUACUUCAACGACCACUGCCAAGCAGAAUCGAGCCGCUACAGUUGAACCAAUUGCUCUUCGUCUAUCAAAAUCAACGAAUUAAACUUACCCUAGGCGAUUGUAAUGGAGUGAUAAUGGAGGAGAACUAGAGAAUUUGGGUGGGAGGAGAGGUAUGAAUCGUGGGUUGAGGGAGAAAGAGUAAAGUGUAUGCAAAAAGAGAGAGAACGUGGUUAGUCAAUUUUAAUGUGAUUAUGCGAGAGAAAAGACUAAAAAGGAGAAAGAAAAAUAUUAUUUAGCAUAUAUGGUGCCUUAAAUAUAGGAUAUAACUAUAAUUAGAUAUUUGGCUAUAAAGUAUAAAAGGUAUUUAUAGGAUGUAAUAUUUUAAAAUGGUAUUUAUUUAAAAUAAAUAGGGUACUAAGGUUUUCUAUAGGGUGUAAAAAUUCCAACUAUUAAUUACUAUUAGGCUUUGGCUUUUCCCUACUCCCAUGACCCAGAUCCAUUUCGUGAAUCUUCGUUCAAACCAUCCACACAAAACGGACAUCCAAACAGAAACAUCUAAAGCACCCUAAAAGAAAGAGAUAAUAACAGUGUAGCAUAAUUGAGAAGUGGAUCAAAAUAUGAUGUUGGCUCAUUGGAACGUAGGCUACUAUGAAAACGAAAUCCAAAUCUCACUGAUUUUAACAAGCAUGAGAUGCCAUGAUACCCAUUACUACACAAAAUUUCUAACAUACUAAAUGACGUUUGAAGAUAAAUUGAAGAACGACAAUUCACAACGGAAGACUUUCAGCACUUUAUCUUCCUUUGUUCUUUUUCCUUUUCUUUUGACAGAGAAUCAUUUUGCUAAACCCAAAUAUACACUUAUUUUAGAAGAAUCAUCUUGAAAAUAACCAAUCAACCAAAUUAGUACUAAUGCAUCAACUCAAAACUUUAAAGAAAGGAAAAAAAUCAUCACAGCUAACUUAAUGGAUAAAUACAAUACUCUUAAUGAUUUAACCACCAAUGACAUUUACAAUCCACUUGAUAAAUUCGUUGAUUGAAAUUUUUUUUUUUAAAAAUAACAUGAAAAGAGAUUCAUAAUAAAAUGACUAAUUCAAACUUUCCCAUAUUAUUUUUUGAAUGCCAAACGAGGGACAAAGAGUAAUAGAACAACAUAACACUGGCGACGGAAAAAAAUUGAAAGAAUGAUUAGAUCAAACUAAAAUUAAACCAGCAGCUUCAUUAGAGUUAUAACGAAGAUGCGAAAACUAAGAAGAAUGAGCCAACAUCAUAUUUAAAACCACCCAUAAAUUGAACUAUAACAAAGAGAAGGAGAAGAGUAUUGACCUUGAAUAAUCUUACAAUUGACGAAAAAUUUCAGCAAAUUACAACGGACAGAAUACCACAGCCA